CUUUAAAUAUCUAUCAGUGGACUUCUCAAACUUAUUUUAACUGAAAUUCUGUUUGAAUGUGUUGGAACAGAUUCUGUCCCAAGUCCAGCUGUGCAUGCUACAAAGAAAGAUCAUAAAGGAGAGCAAAGCAGAAAUUAUUUGGCAUAGAAGCAGUGUUGAGUCUGUAUAAACAGUGCUGAGCUGCUUCCUUUUCAUAGACUUCUGUAGGCUCCAGCUCAGAUGCCAUGGAAGGAGUAUGCACUCGCUCUUGCAGGAUUUCAAGGCGGUAUUAUAGCCUGCAUAAGGCUGUGGAAUGGAGGAAGGAAGACAACUCAGCUUCAAGACUGGCUGUGAAUCUAAUGAAAUGACAGUGAUUGACCUCGUAUGCGAUGGCACACAACACGAUUGCCUGGGGGGCACCAUCUGACCCCCUAUUCCCCUCACCCUAUCACUGGAUCCCAGAGCAGACAUCCUGGCUGCUUGUACUAACUUAGAUAAAAUAUAUUGAGGCCUUGCCUGA